UACGGGGGGAGCAAGCGUUGUUCGGAUUUACUGGGCGUAAAGGGCGCGUAGGCGGCCACCGCAAGUCAAUUGUGAAAUCUCCGGGCUUAACCCGGAAAGGUCAACUGAUACUGCGGGGCUAGAGUGCGGAAGGGGUAACUGGAAUUCUCGGUGUAGCGGUGAAAUGCGUAGAUAUCGAGAGGAACACCUGCGGCGAAGGCGGGUUGCUGGGCCGACACUGACGCUGAUGCGCGAAAGCCAGGGGAGCGAACGGG
rnacentral:rRNA from 1 species